rfam:Aspergillus fumigatus strain AF293 mitochondrion, complete genome.
GAAAUUAUUAUGGAUAAUUAGCUAUAUAUUAAAGAAUAUCUAGUCAAUCUAGUUUCUAAGAGAAAUCAGAUAAUAAACGAAGUGAAUUGAAAUAUCUUAGUAACUUUAGGAAAAGAAAUCAAACGAGAUUGUUAUUUGGUGUCAACUAAAUAACAAAAGCCUAAUAACAAAACUUGUUAAAAGUAAAAUGGAUUAAAAUCUGUUUGAAUAUAGGGGAACCUUCCUCUAAGGCUAAAAAUGAUAUAUAAGCGAUAGUGAAAAGUACCGUGAGGUAAAAUUUGAAAUAGUAAUUUUAUAAGCAGCUCGAGUGAAAUUUAAAUAAAUAAUAAGAGCGUACCUUUUGCAUAAUGGGUCAGCAAGUUAAUUUUAGAUGCAAGCAAUGAUUUUAUGCGCUUUUCGCAUAAAACUAGCUUAGAUAAACCAAUUAUGAAAAAAUGAAUAAGUAUCUAGAAUUAGACCCGAAGGCUAGUGAUCUUACCAUGGUCAGGGUUAUAAAAGCUCGAACGGGUUAUCGUUGUAUAGAUAUCCGAAGAAUUGUGGUAAGUUAGUGAAAGACAAAACUGACUAGUAUAGCUGGUUUUCCGCGAAACCUAUAUGAGUAGGUAAUUUAAUUAACAUCUUAGCAGGUACAGAACUGUGAUCUCGGACAAUAUCUUUUGAUUUUGUCAACAUCGGGGGGUUGUAGUGACUUUACCGGAGAGUAUUUGCACUCGGAAGGGCAAAGAUGAAUGUUGAAUAAUCGGACAUAGUGCGAUAAGGUUGUAUGUCUAAAGGGAAACAGCCCAGAACAAGAGUUAAGGUUCCAAAAUUAUUGUUGAGUGAAAUUAAGGAUGUUUUUUUUUAAUACAAUCAGGAAAUAGGCUUAGAAGCGGCCAUUUUUUGAAGACCUCGUAACAGAGCACUGAUUAAUUUUUUAGAAAAAAACACCGAAAAUUUAACGGAUCUAAACAAUAUACCGAAACCUUGUACACAUUAAUAUAAUAAUAAUAUUGUAUAUGUGGGGUAGCGGAACAUUGGAUAAAUAUUAAUUAUUAUUUCUUAUUUAAGAAAUAAUAAAUAUGGAUUAUUAAUAAACUAAAUAAAAUUAAAUUAAUCCAUUAAUAUAAUCCAAGAGAGAAUGCUGACAUGAGUAACGAAAAAGGAAUAUCCUCGCCUUAAGCUUAUGGUAUUUUAUUUAAUUUUCGGUAUCUAAAUAUAUUAAUCAAAAGGUAAUUUUGAUGAUAUUUUUAUAAAAAAUACUUAAUAGUAAAAAACAAAACCUUUAAUAAGUAAUAAAGGUUCUGGAAAAUUUUUUACUUAAAAUAAAAUAUAUGUAAACUAAUAGUCUUAUGAAUAAAGCUCAAUAUGUUAUAUUGUAUUUACUAUCUAAUUUCUUGUUACAAGUUUUCAAGAUUACAUAGUUUAAAUAGAAUGUAAUAGAGUUUUAUAAAAAAAAAAAAGAUAUAUUUUAUUUUUAUAUUUUACAUUAUUGUAUAUAUUAAGACUAUUAUACAAAUAUAUAAUGUAAAUAUAAUAAGGUUUUUCUAUAUACCGUACCUAGAUACUAUCACAAGUAAGCAAGUAGAGAAUACAAAGGCGUUUGAGUGAACAAUCAUUAAGGAACUCGGCAAAUUGACUACCGUAACUUCGGGAUAAGGAGGGCCAUUAUCAUUAGUUUAACAUACCUUACAGGUAUGAUUUAAUUAAAUUAAGGAUAAGAGGAAACAUAAAAUAAUGUUGUACGACUGUUUAAUAAAAACACAGCACUCUGCAAAGAUAAAAUAUCAAAGUAUUGAGUGUGAUGUCUGCCCAAUGUCGGCUGGAUAACGGAUUUACCUUGGUUUUUAACUGAGGUUUUGAAGGAUACCCCGAUUAAUGGCGGCCUUACCUAUGAGGGUCCUAAGGUAGCGAAAUACCUUGGCCGUUAAAUGCGGUCCUGCAUGAAUGACUUAACGAUACAACAGCUGUCUCGAUGAUUGUCUCAGUGAAAUUG